rnacentral:rRNA from 1 species
CUAUCAGCUUGUUGGUGAGGUAACGGCUCACCAAGGCUUACGGGUAGCUGGUCUGAGAGGACGAUCAGCCACACUGGGACUGAGACACUGCCCAGACUCCUACGGGAGGCUGCAGUCGAGAAUCUUUCGCAAUGGGCGCAAGCCUGACGAAGCGACGCCGCGUGCAGGAUGAAGGUCUUCGGAUUGUAAACUGCUGUCUUUGGGGAGCAACGGCCUCGAUGCUAACACCAUCGGGGAGUGAUAGUACUCAAGGAGGAAGCCACGGCUAACUCUGUGCCAGCAGCCGCGGUAAUACAGAGGUGGCGAGCGUUGUUCGGAUUUACUGGGCGUAAAGGGUGCGUAGGCGGUUCUGCGUGUCGGAUGUGAAA